AAUAGAUACCCGGGUAGUCCACCCCGUAAACGUUGGGAACUAGUUGUGGGGUCCUUUCCACGGAUUCCGUGACGCAGCUAACGCAUUAAGUUCCCCGCCUGGGGAGUACGGCCGCAAGGCUAAAACUCAAAGGAAUUGACGGGGACCCGCACAAGCGGCGGAGCAUGCGGAUUAAUUCGAUGCAACGCGAAGAACCUUACCAAGGCUUGACAUACACCAGAACACCCUAGAAAUAGGGGACUCUUUGGACACUGGUGAACAGGUGGUGCAUGGUUGUCGUCAACUCGUGUCGUGAGAUGUUGGGUUAAGUCCCGCAACGAGCGCAACCCUCGUUCUAUGUUGCCAGCACGUAAUGGUGGGAACUCAUGGGAUACUGCCGGGGUCAACUCGGAGGAAGGUGGGGAUGACGUCAAAUCAUCAUGCCCCUUAUGUCUUGGGCUUCACGCAUGCUACAAUGGCCGGUACAAAGGGCUGCAAUACCGUGAGGUGGAGCGAAUCCCAAAAGCCGGUCCCAGUUCGGAUUGAGGUCUGCAACUCGACCUCAUGAAGUCGG
rnacentral:rRNA from 1 species